AGGAGGAGUAUACUACUGUACAGAGUGAGCGGCUGAGUUAGGGUGUGUGUGUGUGAGAGAGAGAGAAAGAGAGGGAUAGGGAGAGCCAUGAAACACACAUACACACACACAUAUACACACACACACACACACACACACAGAGGGUGCAGAUAGCGGGAGGGGAAAACCUCCUCUCUGAAAGGGAUGAUGUCAGUCUCUGCAGCUGAGCCCCGGUCCCCGACUCGAAAGGGUGAAGACUGUUCUCCAGUACAAGACUACCAGCCAUAACAACAUCCACAAAGAGGGAGGAAGGGGGUGAGAACUGAGAAGAAAAGCAGGGAGAGUCUGGUGGAUGAUCCUCAUUCAGGUAAUACGGGGAAAAAUGCGAGGACCCCCCUCCUUGUAUUCUCUGUGUGUAUGCCACUGUGUAAUAUGGCUUUUUAUUCCUAUGUGAUGAUGAAAAGUGUUCAUGUAGGAACAGAAGCCAUUUUACACGUGGUGGUAGAGCAGCAUGACGGAAGCAUGAAACAAGCGGGAGCUCCUCGCUGCCUGCUUGCCAGUGCUCACGGAGACCAACAACAUAUGGUUGGAUAAAUGCAACUGUCUUCUUGCUGAAUAUUUCCCUGUAGUAAAGAUACAUUUAUGCUCGUCUCUCUGAUGAAAAGUGAGCUCAGCGAAGUGCUGAUUUGAAGACAAAAAUAUGGCGUCAGAGUUUGUUGUGUGUGCACCUGUUUUUGCCUCCAGGCACACGCACCUUCCACUGCUUCCAGUGUUUGAAGCAUGCGGUGACAGCUGCAGUCCGCAGGGAUGGAAGUAGGAACAUUUGCAAAACAUGUCAUGAACAAAAGAAGAAAAGAGCAAGGAGAGACCUGUACAGAUCUUUAAUAACCAACUAUAAAACAGGCACUUGGUGAGCCACUUUACAACUUGCAAGAGACACUGCAUUUCCCUUUCUUCUCAUUCGUAUUCAUUUUGCACAUUUUUAAAAUAAAACUUUUACACCACACAUUCAUCUACCUACAAUAUAAUACAAUGUAAGAUACAUACAGUAUAAACAAGAUAAAGCACCUUUGUUGUCCUAGUAAAUACUAUUAAGAAUUAAACACUUGGAGUUACAGAUUGAGUUUGUAAUUUGUGUGUGGUAUUUUCAGUGCAUGGGAAGAACUCCAAAUACAGGUCUUGGGACUUUGAUGUCCUUGUAUGCACCUGAGUUUAUACAAUGGAAGCUUUUCCUAAUUUUGUUUUCUGUCAGCCUACAUGUGAUUUACUUGGAUGGUUUACACAGUAUUAAUAAAAUACAGAGAGCCAGUAAAAACAGUCUGAUGUACGUUUGUAACUGCAUCUGCUACAGAUCUCAUGUUCCCUUCUGAGGACAUUGGCAUUCACAUUACAAUAAAAAAACACAAUGUAGCACCACGUAAUGUUUAUACAAAGGCUAAUACGAUGAAUGUCAAUGCAGUACAGUAAUGUAAAAAAAAAAAAAUAAUACAAAAUGACUAUGUAGGAAGUAUUUAUGAAA